UCUCUCUGUCACGUUUCUCUCCUUCUCUCUGUCUUUCUCUCUCUAUCUUUCUGUCUCUCUCUCAGUCUGUCUGUCUUUCUCUCACUUUUUCUGUCUCUCUCUCUCUCUCUCUCUCUCUCUCUCACUUCCUCUCUGUCUCUGCCUAUCUUUCUGUCCCUCUCUCACUUUUUUCUCUCUCUGUCUGUCUUUCUCUCACUUCCUCUCUGUCUCUGCCUAUCUUUCUGUCCCUCUCUCACUGUCUCUCUCACUUUUUCUCCAUCUCUGUCUAUCUUUCUGUCCCCCCCUCACUUUUUUCUCUCUCUGUCUCUGUCUUUCUCUCACUUCCUCUCUGUCUAUCUUUGUCCUCUCUCACUUUUUUUCUCUCUCUUUCGGUCUCUCUCACCCCCUUCUCUUUCUCUCUCUGUCUUUCUCUCUUUCUGUCCCCCCCCCCUCUUUCAUUUCCGUUCUUCAAAUCUGAUGUCAGCAGUAAAAAUAGAAGACUGUCACUCUGUGCACAUCUCCAGUAUCUAAAACAAGCCAGUUCACUUCUGCUGAAGACUCACCCACUGCUCCACCUCACAGCCUUUCCCUCACCACAUCCUACUGAAGUGUAUUUAAAGACGCAUCCUACACUGUAACAUCCUCAUUUCUAAACAUGGGGCACAUGAGACACUCCUCUCCAGCCUUUUUUUAUCCUUAUUCUCAGUUACUGGAAGAAAGUCAUUGUGGGUUCAGUAUAAAGACAAAGCUGAGCUCUGAAGCCUGAGAUGCAUGUGAGUGUAUAUGCAGGCCGAUUCCAUCACCCUACUACCCCAGUGUGUCAGCUGUGGAUGGAGAGGAGGCAGGAGGUUUGAAAACCUUCAAUUCGACAAGUUUAACUCAUGAGGUUUUUGCGGUCCACGAAAACGUUCGAACCUGCAGCAAGAGCUAAAAAUAAUCCUGGAUAUACGGCCCAGCUGUUUAAAUGUGAAGGUUUUCUCUGAAGCCAAGUCGCAGUACACCUACUUCAUGAUGGAAGGCGUGCACCACUGACCCCUCCUCUCUCCUCUUCAGCAAACGCUUACACAGCACCAUGGUGAUCAGAGACAUGAUGAACACGCCCAGG